rnacentral:rRNA from 1 species
UACGUAGGGUGCGAGCGUUAAUCGGAAUUACUGGGCGUAAAGCGUGCGUAGACGGUUAUUUAAGUCGGGUGUGAAAGCCCCCGGCUCAACCUGGGAAUUGCAUUCGAGACUGAAUAGCUAGGGUACGGUAGAGGGAAGUGGAAUUUCCGGUGUGGCGGUGAAAUGCGUAGAUAUCGGAAGGAACAUCAGUGGCGAAAGCGACUUCCUGGACCAGUACCGACGUUCAGGCACGAAAGCGUGGGGAGCAAACAGG